AGCCGAAACAGCGGACAAGCUCCGCUGUCUGCCGUGAACGGUCGCACGGUACUGAUGAGGCAGACCAGA
rnacentral:hammerhead_ribozyme from 1 species